rnacentral:rRNA from 1 species
CCUACGGGAGGCAGCAGUGGGGAAUAUUGCACAAUGGGGGAAACCCUGAUGCAGCGACGCCGCGUGAGUGAAGAAGUAUUUCGGUAUGUAAAGCUCUAUCAGCAGGGAAGAAAAUGACGGUACCUGACUAAGAAGCCCCGGCUAACUACGUGCCACAUGCGGCGGUGAUACGUAGGGGGCAAGCGUUAUCCGGAUUUAGUGGGGGUAAAGGGAGCGCAGAGGGCUGUGCAAGUCUGGAGGGAAAGGCGGGGGGCCAACCCACGGUCUGCCCUGGAUACUGUAAAGCUAGAGUGCAGGAGAGGUAAGCGGAAUUACUAGAGUAGCGGUGAAAUGCGUAGAUAUAA